AGACUCGUUCUCUUCAUUACGCACAAGCCUUUCGCCUUUUACUAAAUAAAGACUUCCGGGAGAGGAACACUACAGAGUUCAACGUAUUUGGAGCGGCUUUGCUUCUUGCAGAGCC
rnacentral:snRNA from 1 species